UGCAGUGAUCAGGGCAAGUGGGGAGAGAUGGAGCUGCAGAGCUAACCAGGAACCAGUGGGUAAAGAACUUCGAAUACCAUGAAUAGACUGUCCAAGAGCAACGCGGAACUGGGAAAGAGUUUUAAAGAAGGGGCUGGCAGGAUUGAUGAGUAGUUUUGAGGGGCAUCCUGGCAACAGCAUGGAGAAUAAUUUUGGGGAAGGAAGUCUGGAGGUGUGGCUGCAGACUGCAGGAGCAGAUGAGCUCAUAAGAAACAAAGAUUUGCUCUGCUGGAUGAUCUGUCUUCACUCAAGAACAAAGAGCAGCAGCAUAGAUGAGUUACCGUGUAAACAAAUCGAGCAAUCACUAACAUGUACAUCAGAGUGUGCUUUGUCAGCCAGUAUACACACCUCUCUCCAGCACGUCUGUCCUUUACCCUCGUGGAGAGACAGCAAAAUUUUGUGCUCAAAAUCAAGAUCCUAAGAUUAUGGUAGUCAGCUGAAGAUCUAUUCUUCCUUCACUUCAAAUAAGGGACAAUCAUAAGAAUGUUCCACUCUUCUCACAGCCCCAAAGAAAACUUUCAUGAACAAUGAAGGGAAUGGCAACCCACUCUAGUUGUCUUGCCUGGAGAAUCCCAUUGACAGAGGAGCCUGGUGGUCUACAGUCCAUGGGGUUGCAAAGAGUUGGACAUAACUGAGCAACUAACACUUGAUGUUAUUUAUCAAAGAAAAUGGAUCUUCCUGUAUUCC
ensembl:lncRNA